GCGGCGUGCCUAAUACAUGCAAGUCGAACGCUUCUUUCCUCCCGAGUGCUUGCACUCAAUUGGAAAGAGGAGUGGCGGACGGGUGAGUAACACGUGGGUAACCUACCCAUCAGAGGGGGAUAACACUUGGAAACAGGUGCUAAUACCGCAUAACAGUUUAUGCCGCAUGGCAUAAGAGUGAAAGGCGCUUUCGGGUGUCGCUGAUGGAUGGACCCGCGGUGCAUUAGCUAGUUGGUGAGGUAACGGCUCACCAAGGCCACGAUGCAUAGCCGACCUGAGAGGGUGAUCGGCCACACUGGGACUGAGACACGGCCCAGACUCCUACGGGAGGCAGCAGUAGGGAAUCUUCGGCAAUGGACGAAAGUCUGACCGAGCAACGCCGCGUGAGUGAAGAAGGUUUUCGGAUCGUAAAACUCUGUUGUUAGAGAAGAACAAGGACGUUAGUAACUGAACGUCCCCUGACGGUAUCUAACCAGAAAGCCACGGCUAACUACGUGCCAGCAGCCGCGGUAAUACGUAGGUGGCAAGCGUUGUCCGGAUUUAUUGGGCGUAAAGCGAGCGCAGGCGGUUUCUUAAGUCUGAUGUGAAAGCCCCCGGCUCAACCGGGGAGGGUCAUUGGAAACUGGGAGACUUGAGUGCAGAAGAGGAGAGUGGAAUUCCAUGUGUAGCGGUGAAAUGCGUAGAUAUAUGGAGGAACACCAGUGGCGAAGGCGGCUCUCUGGUCUGUAACUGACGCUGAGGCUCGAAAGCGUGGGGAGCAAACAGGAUUAGAUACCCCUGGUAGUCCACGCCGUAAACGAUGAGUGCUAAGUGUUGGAGGGUUUCCGCCCUUCAGUGCUGCAGCAAACGCAUUAAGCACUCCGCCUGGGGAGUACGACCGCAAGGUUGAAACUCAAAGGAAUUGACGGGGAGCCCGCACAAGCGGUGGAGCAUGUGGUUUAAUUCGAAGCAACGCGAAGAACCUUACCAGGUCUUGACAUCCUUUGACCACUCUAGAGAUAGAGCUUUCCCUUCGGGGACAAAGUGACAGGUGGUGCAUGGUUGUCGUCAGCUCGUGUCGUGAGAUGUUGGGUUAAGUCCCGCAACGAGCGCAACCCUUAUUGUUAGUUGCCAUCAUUUAGUUGGGCACUCUAGCGAGACUGCCGGUGACAAACCGGAGGAAGGUGGGGAUGACGUCAAAUCAUCAUGCCCCUUAUGACCUGGGCUACACACGUGCUACAAUGGGAAGUACAACGAGUCGCUAGACCGCGAGGUCAUGCAAAUCUCUUAAAGCUUCUCUCAGUUCGGAUUGCAGGCUGCAACUCGCCUGCAUGAAGCCGGAAUCGCUAGUAAUCGCGGAUCAGCACGCCGCGGUGAAUACGUUCCCGGGCCUUGUACACACCGCCCGUCACACCACGAGAGUUUGUAACACCCGAAGUCGGUGAGGUAACCUUUUAGGAGCCAGCCGCCUAAGGUGGGAUAGAUGAU
rnacentral:rRNA from 1 species